UACGUAGGAGACGAGCGUUGUCCGGAAUUACUGGGCGUAAAGCGCGUGUAGGCGGAUGAGCAAGUCUGCUGUGAAAGCUCCUGGCUUAACCGGGAGUGGUCGGUGGAAACUGCUCGUCUGGAGGACGGUAGAGGUAGGUAGAAUUCCCGGUGUAGUGGUGAAAUGCGUAGAGAUCGGGAGGAAUACCUGUGGCGAAGGCGGCCUACUGGGCCGGACCUGACGCUGAGACGCGACAGCGUGGGGAGCAAACAGG
rnacentral:rRNA from 1 species